AGUGAACGCUGGCGGUAGGCCUAACACAUGCAAGUCGAACGGCAGCACAGUAAGAGCUUGCUCUUACGGGUGGCGAGUGGCGGACGGGUGAGGAAUACAUCGGAAUCUACCUUUUCGUGGGGGAUAACGUAGGGAAACUUACGCUAAUACCGCAUACGACCUACGGGUGAAAGCAGGGGAUCUUCGGACCUUGCGCGAUUGAAUGAGCCGAUGUCGGAUUAGCUAGUUGGCGGGGUAAAGGCCCACCAAGGCGACGAUCCGUAGCUGGUCUGAGAGGAUGAUCAGCCACACUGGAACUGAGACACGGUCCAGACUCCGACGGGAGGCAGCAGUGGGGAAUAUUGGACAAUGGGCGCAAGCCUGAUCCAGCCAUACCGCGUGGGUGAAGAAGGCCUUCGGGUUGUAAAGCCCUUUUGUUGGGAAAGAAAAGCAGCAGGUUAAUACCCCGCUGUUCUGACGGUACCCAAAGAAUAAGCACCGGCUAACUUCGUG
rnacentral:rRNA from 1 species